GCCCGGGUGGCUCAGUCGGUUGAGCGGCCGACUUCGGCUCAGGUCAUGAGCUCACGGCUCGUGGGUUCGAGCCCUGCUUCAGGCU
rnacentral:tRNA from 1 species